GAAGGCGGCCUUCUGGACAGUACUGACGCUGAGAUGCGAAGCGUGGGGAGCAAACAGGAUUAGAUACCCUGGUAGUCCACGCUGUAAACGAUGUCGAUUUGGAGUUUGUUGCCUAGAGUGAUGGGCUCCGAAGCUAACGCGAUAAAUCGACCGCCUGGGGAGUACGGCCGCAAGGUUAAAACUCAAAUGAAUUGACGGGGGCCCGCACAAGCGGUGGAGCAUGUGGUUUAAUUCGAUGCAACGCGAAGAACCUUACCUGGUCUUGACAUCCAUAGAAUUCUGCAGAGAUGUGGGAGUGCCUUCGGGAACUAUGAGACAGGUGCUGCAUGGCUGUCGUCAGCUCGUGUUGUGAAAUGUUGGGUUAAGUCCCGCAACGAGCGCAACCCUUAUUCUUUGUUGCCAGCGAUUUGGUCGGGAACUCAAAGGAGACUGCCGUUGAUAAAGCGGAGGAAGGUGGGGACGACGUCAAGUCAUCACGGCCCUUACGACCAGGGCUACACACGUGCUACAAUGGCGUAUACAAAGGGAAGCGAAGGUGCGAGCUGGAGCGGAUCUCAUAAAGUACGUCUAAGUUCGGAUUGGAGUCUGCAACUCGACUCCAUGAAGUCGGAAUCGCUAGUAAUCGUAGAUCAGAAUGCUACGGUGAAUACGUUCCCGGGCCUUGUACACACCGCCCGUCACACCAUGGGAGUGGGUUGCACCAGAAGUAGAUAGCUUAACCGCGAGGGGGGCGUUUACCACGGUGUGAUUCAUGACUGGGGUGAAGUCGUAACAAGGUAACCA
rnacentral:rRNA from 1 species